GUGUAAACGUAGCUUAACUGUUCCGAAGGAAAUCUUGCCAAAACGAUCUACUCCCUCAAGGCCUACUCGAUCAUCUUCCAAUAACAGUGUUAUCUCGUACCGUCCUCGUAGAUGUAAGACAGCCACCUAUCAACGGUCAUUUUUUAUUAGAGCAACUAGAACCUGGAACUCCUUACCCGAACACUUAAGGAGGCUCCCUACAGUUUCCAAUAUAUAUCAGUGUUUUAAACUAAAAGCUAUUUGAAUCCAAAAAAACUAAUUUUUUGCACAAGCUAUUGUCUCCUCUUAUAUAAAAAGUAAUUACAAAUGACAACAUGACGUCACCAUCUAUAUGGCCUAUAUCAACCAAAGGCUAAAUGCAAUUUUAAAGGCUGAAAUUCAGUAUCUCGAAAACUACACUGGCGAUUUUCAAGUUGAUAUAGGCCAUAUAGAUGGUGACGUCUGUUGUGAUGGUAACGUGGAGAGUAGCGAUUGUGGGUUAAAAUGACUCUUUUAUAUAAGAGGAAACAAUGGGUUGUUUUUUUAGAUUCAAAUAGCUUUUUAUAGUUAGAACACUAACAUAAAUUGGAAACUGUAGGGAGCCUCCUUAAGACUAGAUCA